rnacentral:rRNA from 1 species
AGAGUUUGAUCCUGGCUCAGAACUAACGCUUGUGGUGUGUCUUAGUCAUGCGAGUCGAACGAGAAAGUUCUCUUCGGAGAGCGAGUACAGUGGCGGACGGGUGAGUAACACGUGGGUGAUCUGCCCUUGGGUUGGGAACAACACUUCUAACGAGGUGCUAAUACCGAAUAACAAAGCCGAUUGCGAAAUCAGUUUUUAAAGGUGGCCUCUACUUGUAAGCUGCCGCCUGAGGAUGAGCCCGCGUCGUAUUAGCUUGUUGGUGGGGUAAUGGCCUACCAAGGCAACGAUGCGUAGCCGGCCUGAGAGGGUGAACGGCCACACUGGAACUGAGACAAGGUCCAGUCUCCUACGGGAGCCAGCAGUCUAGAAAUUUGCACAAUCGUCGAAAGGCGGAUGCAGCGACACCACGUGGAGGAUGAAGCCCCUCGGGGUGUAAACUCCUGUCAGUUGGGAAGAAGGCGCGAGUGUUAAUACCACUUGUUGCUUGACGGUACCUUCAGAGGAAGCUCCGGCUAACUACGUGCCAGCAGCCGCGGUAAUACGUAGGGAGCGAGCGUUGUUCGGAUUUACUGGGCGUAAAGAGCACGUAGGCGGGCAUGCAAGUCGGUUGUGAAAUCCUCUGGCUCAACCAGAGAACUGCAAUCGAAACUGCAUGCCUUGAGUCCAGCAGAGGAAAUCGGAAUCUUAGGUGUAGCGGUGAAAUGCGUAGAUAUCUAAGAGAACAUCAGUGGCGAAGGCGGAUUUCUGGGCUGGCACUGACGCUGAGGUGCGAAAGCUGAGGUAGCGAACAGGAUUAGAUACCCUGGUAGUCUCAGCCGUAAACGAUGGGUACUAGGUGUUGGGGGACAUUGACCCCCUCAGUGCCGUAGCUAACGCAUUAAGUACCCCGCCUGGGGAGUACGGCCGCAAGGCUGAAACUCAAAGGAAUUGACGGGGACCCGCACA